rfam:Ailuropoda melanoleuca scaffold1139_28, whole genome shotgun sequence.
CCCUGGCCAGCUCAGUCAGUAGAGCAUGUGACUCUUAAUCUCAGGGUCUUGAGUUCAAAUCCCAUGUUGGGCA